rnacentral:rRNA from 1 species
UCGCCUGUUUAUCAAAAACAUCGCCUCCUGCAGUACAACCAAGUAUAGGAGGUCCAGCCUGCCCGGUGACCACAAGUUUAACGGCCGCGGUAUUUUGACCGUGCAAAGGUAGCGCAAUCACUUGUCUUUUAAAUAGAGACCCGUAUGAAUGGCUAAACGAGGGCUUAACUGUCUCCCUUUUCAAGUCAGUGAAAUUGAUCUACCCGUGCAGAAGCGGGUAUAACAAUACAAGACGAGAAGACCCUUUGGAGCUUAAGGUACAAAACUCAACCACACCAAGCAACUUAAUAAAAAGUAAAAACUUUGUGAAACAUGAGGUUUUACCUUCGGUUGGGGCGACCGCGGAGGAAAAUAAAGCCUCCAAGUGGACCGGGACAAACUCCUAAAACCAAGAGAAACAUCUCUAAGCCACAGAACAUCUGACCAAACAUGAUCCGGCCACCAGGACCGAUCAACGAACCAAGUUACCCCAGGGAUAACAGCGCAAUCCUCUCCCAGAGUCCAUAUCGACGAGGGGGUUUACGACCUCGAUGUUGGAUCAGGACAUCCUAAUGGUGCAGCCGCUAUUAAGGGUUCGUUUGUUCAACGAUUAAAGUCCUACGUGAUCUGAGUUCAGACCGGA